GCAGCUGGAUCACAGCUGGGUUCAGCUCCCAAGUAUGUGCUAAAUAAAACCAAAAAAAUCUGAAAAAACCUGAAGUUGUGAACAAUGUCAGAAGAGAUUAGAAAUCCAAAGGUUUCCAUGGCUUGGAUCCAAAUUCAGAGUUUUGGUGUCUGUCCAGGAAGUGGAAGAGGUAUAGGAAGUGAGGAGAGCCACAUUGUCAUUGAUUCAAAAAAGUAGGAGCAGUUUGUCUGUUUUAACCCAACCUCAUGCUGUGUUGCUGUUGCCACUGCUAUGCAUGUUUCUCUAAUCAGCCACAUGAAGCAUUCAUUGUCUGUCUUCUGAAACACUGCAUCUUUAUGAAUGGCAUGCUGCCUGGUGCAAGUUUGAAGAGCCCUGAUAUGGAUUAGAACCCUGCCUGCUGAAGCAAAGCAAUUUGAGAAGUACUCUGAGAAUAAAAGAUCCAGUUAAGAUGGCUCCACUUAGAGGUCUAAAAAUGAGCUGGGAGAAAAAUUGUUGCUUCGAUGAUGCAGGACUGAGCAUAAUUGCAGACAUUCCUUGGGACAUGGAGGAGUCCUUGUGCCUGCAACCAUCUCCCUGGAACCACUGGGCAUAGCAGCUGAAGGGCUCCCUCACAUGUCUGUGACUAGCUGUGUUUUUUCAGAGCUCCUGCCACAAAUCUGUGAUUCCCUCUAGAAUUCCAACACAUAACUGAGUAGAGUGGCCAAUUAUGGUGGAAUAUGAUUCUUCUUUGUUCUUCAGCAUAUUUAUAGACAGAUGCACAUUCAGGGAUCUACCAGAGAGUACCAGAGCAGACUCAACAAAGCAAAGCUACAGAGAGGAGCAAUAGGCUUUUUGUGAAUGCCUGGCAUCCAAACAGGGUCAACCCACAACACCACCCAAGUGCAAGAUGGAUGAUAAGAGAUGACAUAGGUGGCAAAAUACAAUGAACCAAUGAGAUAUUAAUGACUGUUCAGAACUGCACUUGGCAGAAUAUUGUUCACAAUGGAUUUUUGCAAUAAACUUUAAGUCUUAAUAUAAAGAGCUCUACAUGUGUUUGUGGAGAGACAGAUUAAAAAAUGUGAAGAACAAAACAACUAACAAAGUAUUCCUUUAAAUUGUGGAAGUG